rnacentral:rRNA from 1 species
GGAAUGAUGGGAAUCUAAACCCUUCCCAGAGUAUCAAUUGGAGGGCAAGUCUGGUGCCAGCAGCCGCGGUAAUUCCAGCUCCAAUAGCGUAUAUUAAAGUUGUUGCAGUUAAGAAGCUCGUAGUUGAAUUUCUGCCUUGUCAUUAAUCUCGCUUUCGAGCGUUAUUUUAUUGACUUGGCAUCUUCUGGAUUUGGUAUCCUUAAUUGGUUACUAUCUUCCAGUAUUUACUUUGAGAAAACUAGAGUGUUUCAAACAGGCCAUUUGCCUUGAAUACUACAGCAUGGAAUAAUGAAGUAGGACUUUGGUUCUAUUUUGUUGGUUAUUGAGCCAGAGUAAUGGUUAAUAGGAGCAGUUGGGGGCAUUCGUAUUUAACUGUCAGAGGUGAAAUUCUUAGAUUUGUUAAAGACGAACUACUGCGAAAGCAUUUGCCAAGGAUGUUUUCAUUAAUCAAGAACGAAAGUUAGGGGAUCGAAGACGAUCAGAUACCGUCGUAGUCCUAACCAUAAACUAUGCCGACUAGAGAUUGGAGGUCGUCAGUUUAAACGACUCCUUCAGCACCU